ensembl:misc_RNA Metazoa_SRP Metazoan signal recognition particle RNA
GCUGGGUAUGGUGGCUCAUGCCUGUAAUCCCAGCACUUUGGGAGGCUGAGAUGGGAGGAUCGCUUGAGGCCAGGAGUUCGAGACCAGCCUGGUCAACAUAGCAAGACCCCAUCUCUA